UUUCCGCCAAUGGGAAAGCGCGGACGCCGCGGCGUUCCGGUGUGAGGACUUCCGCGCGGAGUUGAAAAGAGCCAGUGUGAGCAGCACGGGAGUUCUGACCCGCUCCGUUUCCGACCUGGGCCGGUUCACCCCGUCUUAGGCAACCUGGUGGUCCCCCGCUCCCGGGAGGUCACCAUAUUGAUGCCGAACUUAGUGCGGACACCCGAUCGGCAUAGCGCAUUACAGCCCAGAACUCUCCGUCUGCGUUCACUCUUCUCUGCCUGUUUUCUAGUUGCGGAGGUUGGUGUGGCGCGGCGUCAGGUUGGGAGGAAGAGAGAGACACAGCGAGGGAGGGAACACAAGCAUGGGGAGAGGGAGAAGCAGGCUUCCUGCUGAGCAGGGAGCCCGAUGCGGGGCUCCAUCCCAGGACCCUAGGACCAUGACCUGAGCUGAAGGCAGAUGCUUAACGACUGAGCCACCCAGGCGCCCCAUGUCUAUUGUAUUUCAACUUGUUCGAUUUCUUUGGUGGCUCGAGCACUCAGCUGUCCUGCAGACUGGCAGAGCAAAAGGCAGCAGUUCAAGCCAUCUGUCCCAGAACGAGACAUCUGGUCACAGGUCUGUGCCUCUGGUCGGGGCUUUUUGGAAGUCAUCUGGCUCCCCAUCCAACGGAGCUGUGAUAAACCAGAGGCUGUCAAGUGCUGGUAUGGAUCUCUAACAAGCAUUUUACAUCCCAAACUCCAUCUCAGCAUCAACUCUUGAGAACCUGACCUUCUGACAGUUGGUACAAGAGGUGGAUGAGAAAGCUGGUGAUAAGAUGGGGUUUUGGAACUGGAUCACCACCCAUCUUACCACGAGGACCCCAUCACUGGAGGAUCUCUUGCUGGAAGCCUCAUGACCUGCCUAGCUGUCCUUCUGAUCCUGUAGCAGAAGUCUAUGAGGCACUAAGUUGAAUCUUACGUGAACAGACCCUUCAGAAAGAGGAUACUCAAAUGCUCAUAGGAAAAUGUAUUCAUGUUCACUAGUCAUAAGGCAUAUGUGGAUUAAAGCCAAAAUGAGAAACUACUACAUACCCACUGGAAUGAUUAAAAUUAAAAGAACUGACAAUACCAAGCGUUUACAAGAAAGUAGAGAAAGUGGGACUCAUAUAUUUCUGCUGGGAGUGUAAAUUGGUACAACUACUUGGGACUUCUGUUUGGCAACAUAUAUGAAGCUGAACACUUAUCCUAUAUCCCGGCAGUUCUACUCCUAAUAUAUAAGAGAAAUGCAUGCAUAUGCUCACCAAAAGACAUGCAUAAGAAUAUCCACUGCAGCACCAUUCCUAAUAGCUCUGACUGGGAAACACCCCAAAGAGUAGAAUUAAUAAACACAUUGUAUUACAGCCAAACCAUCUAUACUACAAAGCAAUGCAGAUGACGGACUUACCACUGUUUACAACAACCGGGGAAAAUCUCAUUAACAUAAUGCUGAAUGAAAGAAGCCAGACACAAAAGACUAUUUUCAGUAUGAUUCCAUUUAGAAGAAGUUCAAGACAGGCAAAACCUAAUUUUUGGUGUUAGAAGUCAAGAUAAUGGUUAUUUUUGGAGAAAGAGGUGGGCAAUGACUGGAAAGGAACAUGCGAGGUGCUCCCAAGUGUGGUGAAUGUUCAGAUUUUUGAUCUGGGUGGUGAUUAUACCGAUGUGUGCAACUUAGUGAAAAUUCAUCAAGUUGUACAAUUAUAAUUUGUAUACUUUUCUUGGCUAGGCUCACCGACAUGUCUAGAGGUUCAUCUGACACUGAGCCACCUGGGCUGGCCUCUGCUAGGGCAAUUCAGGAGAAUCAGCUCUGCAAUGUGUGCCUGUCAUCCACCAUGGGCCAGCCAGGCAUGGUCUCACGGUGAUGGCAGAGAGGCACAAAGGGUAGUUCCCGAUGUUCAAGUCCUUAUCAAGCCAUCAUAGCUGCUAAUAUUCCACUGGCCAAAGCAAGUCAAAUGGUGGAAACCAGAAUCAAGGGGCCGGCAGGUUACUCUUCUCAUGGUAGGCAGGCACUGAUUGCACAGUUAUGUGGUAAAGGGCAUGACUACAGAGAGGGUGAUGACCACAAUCUCCCACAGUGUGGGAAUAAGAAACCUGAAGCUAAUGACAAAACAGUGAAACGCAUACAUAAUUGAGAAGUGCAGGGUGCUUUAAGGGCACAGAAAAGGGAACAUUUCAUGUUUUAUCUCGUACUCAAAUUAUUCAUGAAAAAAUUUAUGCAUGGACAUAUCCCUUCCAGACUAUGAACUUUUUGUAUGUGCUUCAUAUUCACAUUUUCCCCCAGCUGCUGGCAUAAUGCCUUGCAUAAAAUAGGCACUUGAACAUUUGUGAAAUUAAUGUUCAGCCAUAAAGGUAGUCCUAUUUAUUUCAGGCUCCAGAGGAAGGAAGAGACCCACAUACAUAGCAAUACCUAUCUUUAUAUUUUAUAGUCAUUUCAGUGAGCUCAUAAUCUCUAUUCAUAGAAUAGUUUCCUGUCAAGUGAAGGGUUGGAGGAGUUCCAGCCCAGUGAUUGAUGGGUGGGAUCAUUCAAAUUUUGAUGUGUUCCCUUUUUUGGAUGGGUGUAUGGUGAUGGGGAUCUUCACCAUUUUAAAAAAUUGUGAUAAAAUAGGGGCACCUGGGUAGCACAGUUGGUUAAGUGUCUGACUCUUGGUUUUGGCUCAGGUCGUGAUCUCAGGGUUGUGGGAUCAGCCCCACUUUGGACUCCGCACUCAGCAAAGAGUCUGCUUGGGAUUCUCUCUCCCUUUCCCUCUGCCCCUCCCCACCAAGCAUGCACACCCUCCCCCUCUCUCCCUCUCAAAUAAAUAAAUAAAUCUUUUUUAAAAUUGUGGUAAAAUAUAUAUAACAUGAAAUUUACCAUCUUAACUUUUUUUAAAGAUUUUAUUUAUUCAUUUUAGAGAGAGAGUAUGUGUGCACGUGGAGGGGGAAGAAGGGGCAGAGGGAGACAGAGAAAGAGUCUCAAGCAGACUCCCAUGCUGAGUGUGGAACCUGGAACCCGAAAUUACAACCUGAGCCAGAAUCAAGAGUUGGACACCUAACCGACUGCACCACCCAGGAGCCCCAUCUUAACUUCUUUUUAAGGGUACAGUUCAGUGGCAUUAAGUACAUUCAUAUUAUUGUGCAACCACCACCACCAUCCAUCUCUAGACUGUUACCUUCCCAAACUGAAACUCUAUACCCAUUAAACAAUAACUCUCCAUUCUCCCUGCCCCCCAGCCCCCCCAGCCCCUGGCAACCACCAUUUUACUUUUUCUCUAUAUGAAUGUGACUGUUUUAGGUACCUCAUGUAAGUGGAAUCAUACAGUCUUUUUGUGACUGGAUUAUUUCACUGGCAUAAUGUCCUCAAGAUUCAUCCAUGUUAUGGUAUAUGUCAGAAUUUCCUUCUUUUUAUUUGAGAAACAAGGCAGAGGAUCAUAGGGGAAGGGAGGGGAAAAUGAAACACGACGAAACCAGAGAGGGAGAUAAACCAUAAGAGACUCUUAAUCU